rnacentral:lncRNA from 1 species
UUAUAGAUAAGGAAAUCAAAGAUUUAGCAAAGAAUUAUACUUAUAAGGAUAGUGAUACUUCUUCUAUUAGGGUGUUGGUAGAACUGUUGAGAAAUGAUUCCUUGAGCUUUGGGUCGGCUAUGAAUAUUUUACAGAGUAUAGAAACAGGUGGUGGCAACCAGGUACUUACAGGGGACCAAUGGAUGCUCCAUUACCAUAUACUGGAGAAUAUGAUUUGAAUUUUAAUAGGUGGGUUACUAAGGAUGGAUAUAGGGUCAGGUAUUUGUCACUGCCUUGGUCAGAAAGAUUGGCAAGAGCCCGUCCUCCUUGGUGUGUGCUCUCAGAAGAAGAGAAAUGGGAGGAAAGGUCACAGAUCAUCAGAUACUUUAGACAGGGAUCAGACAUGCAAUAUUAUUGCCCCAAGCCUUAGAUGUGCAUCUACAGGACUAGCGAAGAUGGGAUCAAAGGGUUAACUAGAGCGAUAGAACUAGGUGCACAGAGCUGAUGGCGUAAGAUAUGGUAGACUUGCGGUCCCCUGAAACUUCCUCCUUGGCGUGACAAACGGAAAACUAGACUAGGCUGGCUGACUGCGGCUCGUCUGAAAAAAAUAACAAGCUGUAACUUUUUACAGAAAAACCAAAUGUUCUUGGCCAUGGUCCAAGAUUGUUAUACAAUGAAAAUUGUGUAUAAAUGUCUAAUGCUCUCUCAGUAAAGUUGCAACAGCUGAAGACA